rnacentral:lncRNA from 1 species
AAAGAAGUUACAAGGAACAUAAAGUGCCAAAGAAUACACGUGUAGUUACUGUUUGAAAAAAGUAAGGGGAAGACAAAAGAUAGCAAAAGUGAUAUAUAAAAAUCAAGAUUUUACUUAGAAGAAUUAUUCUUUGACCACCUAUAAAGUGCAUUUUGGAUUUACUGUACACAUACAUGUGAGAUCUAUCCAAACUCACAAGUCACCAAUAUACUGAAAAUGCAGCUCCUGAAAACCUGAAGAACAAUGUUUCAAUUGCAAAUAUUGAACAAACAUCACUGGUCCAAAUCCGAGACAGACGCUGUUUCAAUUCCAGUACAACAACCCCAACGGAAGUUAUAAUCUGUAAAGAACUCACUGCUGGAAUAGCGUGCCAAGGCUCUAACAUACCAGAAAAGCAGCAUGUUCCAAUUUUAUUUUCUAGGACCCAUCUGUCUAAUUACCUGUUCCAAACUAGUGUAGUCAUCAUCUAUCCUUGAAUAUUUCCUCUCAAGCCGUCUCCUCGACUCCUGGGGUGGAGGUGCAGGUGCAUAAUUGUAACUUGGUUGAGGUGCAUAAUUGUAACCUGGUUGAGGGUACUGCGAGUGUGGACUGCCAUAAUUACCCCAUGAAUUUGAACUGGAACUGUAAGAUGAGUAUCGACCAGAAGUCGAGCUCUUCGAACUCUUGCCACC